rnacentral:lncRNA from 1 species
UUAGAAGUAUGAUAAUCGAAUAUACAAUCAGUAAGGAUAUCACAUUAAUAACAUGCAACAUCUAUAUAUUCAAACUUUCCUAAUUGGGAUUUACAAUGAAUUAUAUUUGGGUUGUGUAAUCGAUUAAAGUAUUUCACUAAUCAAUUAAUCAAUUCAGUCCAUGAGCCGUUUCCUUUCUUGGCGUUUCUAACUACUAUAUAAGGGAAGGUCUUCC